rnacentral:rRNA from 1 species
AGAGUUUGAUCCUGGCUCAGGAUGAACGCUGGCGGCGUGCUUAACACAUGCAAGUCGAACGGACCCAUAUUGAAACCUAGUGAUAUAUGGGUUAGUGGCGGACGGGUGAGUAACGCGUGGGUAACCUGCCUUACACAGGGGGAUAACACUUAGAAAUAGGUGCUAAAACCGCAUAAGCGCACAGCUUCGCAUGAAGCGGUGUGAAAAACUCCGGUGGUGUAAGAUGGACCCGCGUCUGAUUAGCUUGUUGGCGGGGUAACGGCCCACCAAGGCGACGAUCAGUAGCCGGCCUGAGAGGGCGGACGGCCACAUUGGGACUGAGACACGGCCCAGACUCCUACGGGAGGCAGCAGUGGGGAAUAUUGCACAAUGGGGGAAACCCUGAUGCAGCGACGCCGCGUGAGUGAAGAAGUAAUUCGUUACGUAAAGCUCUAUCAGCAGGGAAGAAAUACUGACCUUACGGUCAGCAGACGGUACCCGAGUAAGAAGCCCCGGCUAACUACGUG